AAAACAAAACAAAAAACCUGUCAUUUUAAAAGAAAUAAACAAAUGAUACAUCAUUAUCCCACAAAAAGGUUAUGCUCUGGGGGCAGCAGAAACAAAAGGUUUGUUUGAAAGAAGCGGAAGAAGGAUUAAACCUUUAUAAAACACAAAAACAUCGGAGCUGGGCGCCUCCUGUCCGAGGCCAACCGCCGCCGUCAACUGUCCGCGCGAACCGGGCCUGAGGAGCCGCCAAGAUGGCGAAGAGCCGCGGCCGCGGCGGAGGAGGAGAAGGAGCCCGCGCAGGAGGCCGGAGCGGCCACCGCGCCCAGGCACAUGGCGUCCACCUUACUGAGGAGCUGCCGCGGCCGGGCGCCCGCCAGCCUCCCGCCGCCGCCUCGAGUCACCGCCCCGCGGGGUAGUCCAGGGGAUCCUGCUCAUCUCAGCUUGCGAACACCCUGGGGUUGAGGAGAUGCCUUAAAGUUUCAUUUGGCUGCUGCACGCCCAUCCACCCUGUGUAACCGUCCUUCAGAGGCGAUCACCUCAGCUGUUGGACUCUGAGGCCCCAGUGCCUUCGCACCGUGUCCAGAGCGCCAUGGACCUCCACCUCUGUGGGUUUUGUGGUCCUGGAGCCUCGGUGCCUUCCUGACCGUGGCUGGCACUCUUCGCACCCUGUUGGUGAUGACUCGGUAGUAGGGAAGUCCCUCGGGUCCUUGAAGGAUAAGAACAAGAAGCUGGAGGAAGGCGGCCGGGUGUACAGCACCCCCGCAGAGAUGGUGGUGAGGUCCCGGGGACAGAGGGUGCUGCGCGAGCUGAGGCACUACCAUGGCUUCUGCCUGCUACGGAUCGACGCCAAGAUCGCAGCACGCAUGCUCUGGCGCAUCCUCAACUGCCACACCCUGACCUGCCGGGCUCGCAGGCAGUUCCUCCGGAUCUGCGCCGACCUCUUCCGCCUGGUGCGGUUCCUCGUGUUCAUGGUGGUGCCGUUCUUGGAGUUUCUGCUGCCUGUUGCUGUGAAACUCUUCCCCAACAUGUUGCCAUCCACAUCUGAGACUCAGUCUAUCAAGGAGGAGAGGCUGAAGAAGGAGCUUCGGGUCAAGCUGGAGCUAGCCAAGUUCCUCCAGGACACCAUCGAGGAGAUGGCCUUGAAGAACGAGGCAGCCAAGGGCAGCGCCGCCAAAGACUUCUCUGUUUUUCCAGAAGAUCCAGGAGACGGGGGAGAGGCCCAGCAAUGAGGAAAUCAUGUGUUUUUCCAAAUUAUUUGAGGAUAAGCUGACCCUGGACAACCUGACACGGCCACAGCUGGUGGCCCUGUGCAAGCUGCUGGAGCUACAGCUUUCUGCAUUUCCAGCUCACCAUGCGGCUGUGCUCCAUAAGGCAGAGGACAAGCUGUUUGCUGAGGAAGGGGUGGACAGCCUGAACGCCAAGGAGCUGCAGGUGGCAUGUCGGGCACGAGGCAUGCGGACCCUGGGCAUCAGGGAAAACCGCCUGAGGGGCCAGCUGAAGCAGUGGCUGGACCUGCACCUGCAUCAGGAGAUCCCCACAUCGCUGCUCAUCCUGUUCCGGACCGUGUACCUCCUGGCCACCCUCUCACCAGCUGACCAGCUCAAGUCCACACUGCAGACCCUCCCAGAGAUUGUGGCAAAGGAAGCGCAGGUGAAAGUGGCCGAGGUGGAGGGCAAGCACGUGGACAAGGCCAAGCUGGAGGCCACACUGCAGGAGGAGGCGACCAUCCAGCAGGAGCACCGCAAGAAGGCGCUGCAGAAGCGUCCGGAGGUGGCGAAGGAUGUUGAGCCCGACUGUGUGAAGCCGCUCCCCAAAGGCCAGGGGCCCAGCUGCAGCGAGAAGUGCCUGACACAGUCCUGCAGUCAGAGACCCUGAAGGACACUGCCCCCGUGCUGGACGGCUUGAAGGAGGAAGAGAUCACUAAGGAGGAAAUCAACAUCCUCAGCAAUGCCUGCUCUAAGCUGCAGGAACAGAAGUCACUCACCAGGGAGAAGGAGGCGCUGGAGCUGCUGAAGGAGGACAUGCAGGACUACAGUGAGGACUUGCAGGAGAUCAAGAAGGAACUUUCAAAGACUGGUGAAGAAAAAUACGUGGAAGAAUCUAAAGCCGGCAAGAGAUUGACAAAAAGGGUGCAGCAGAUGAUCGGGCAGAUUGAUGGCUUGAUCUCGCAGCUGGAGAUGGACCAGUGGGCCAGCAAGCUGGCCCUGGCCAAGGGCGUACCCAUGGGGGAGAACGUCAUCAGUGUCGCCCAGCUCAUCAACGCCAUGAAGCAAGUCAAGCACAUUCCCGAAAGCAAGCUCACCAGCCUGGCUGCAGCACUGGAUGAAAAUAAGGAUGGCAAGGUCAACUUCGACAACGUCGUCAAGGUGAUUGAGCUGGUGGACAAACAAAAUGUUCACAUUUCCACCAGUCAGGUGGCCAAGAUUGUAGCAACACUGGAAAAACAGGAGAAGGGGAGGAGAAGGAGAAGGUGGAGAAGGAGGUCGCAGAGGUGAAGAGCUAGAGCCACUGGCCUGGGCACCUGUGCUCCUGCUGCACUGCCACCCUGGCGAGGGCUGUGAGAGCGAUUUGUGGUGAUUUUUAGUGGCUCAUCUAAUACUUUGGUUGGAAUAAAUCAGAGACUUCCAUAAUCAAGCAAAUUGUAAUUUUCAUCAUUCCACGGAAAUUCAAUCUGUCUGGAAUCCCGGAACCCCUCCACAGAAUCGUAUCUGGAAACACACUGUGGUGUGGCUGCCACAGCCUCCUGGCUCGAGGCGGCCAGGCCAAGGCAGGAAGGCGCCCCGCUGUGUGUGGCCUCACGUCUGAGCGUCUGACUGUGCUGCCCUGUGCCCAGGGAGGAGAAUGAGGACCACAUGGACUCUGCCCACACAGAGCUGGCUGCAGUGCCCACCCUCAGAGGCAUCAGGAGACACAGCCUGGCCUCCUCAGGGCUGAAGAUGCCUCCAUUCACCUGUGGACCUUGAUUUCUAGAUUUUAACAUCAAUAGACCUGUCUUCCUGCACACUUUCAGUUGGAUCUGGGUCACUGUGGAGACAGAGGUAUCUGCCAUCUCUGUGGCCUCUGGAGAGUGACAUCUCCCUGCUGGCAGGGCCGGUUCUCACCUGCAGUUUUCCUUGUGUAUCGGAGCUCUUUCUUAACUUUCUAUUUUCCCCCAAUUCUUUAAGCAGUUGAUUGGCACAGUUUUCCCACACUGGUCGGCCUGCCCCAAGAGCCAUCUCUGACCCAAGCCGCGUGACUCUGAUGUAGCCCUGGCUUGGGUGGUGCUUGGGCUGCACGCCACGGGGGCUGCAGUGGAUUUGCUGUGUCAGGGAUGAGCCUGGCUCAGGGGUUGGUGGGGCUCUGAAGCACAUUUGGGGUUCUUUGUAGCUUCUAAUGUGAGGUUUGAGUCCAGUGCACCCACAGCAGCAUGCCCUUCUCACCCCUUGCAGUGUUGCAGGCUCAGGCCGCUGGGCUCCUUUAACAAGCAGGCUGGUCACCAAGGCACGGAGACGAGGCACAGGGCAUCCCCUGGGACUCCAAGGGCAACACCCCAGUGCUUGGGGUUUGCCCUGUGCCCUCUGGGUGGGGUGGCCUCCCCACACUCGGCACUCAGCAGCAUGGUCGGGCUGGCCAGGGCAUGGGCAGGCGGCGUCCUGUGGCACCUCCACCCUCCUGCCCAGCUGGCCGUGUCACACUCAUCUUUUAAAGGUCAGGUUGGUUCCUGGCAAAAAUGUCCCUCUGGGGGCCUCCAAGCAUAGGAUUUGGAAGACAGAGGAAUGGCACAGGCAGCCAGGAAAGCAGCUGCGCUCAGACGAUGCCUUCUCCAUUACUUGAAGCUUCUUUUUGUUCAGCCAUUAAAGAAACUUGACAAAAUAGGAACAGCAGAUAUUUCUCAAUUGUAAACCUUUGUGCAGCGACAGUUGGCUUCCAAAGGCUUUCAGAUUUCAAUUAUUUGAAAAAGAAGUUUGUUUCAGAUCCUUAAUAUUUAUGAAUUCUC